rnacentral:rRNA from 1 species
UCCAGACUCCUACGGGAGGCAGCAGUGAGGAAUAUUGGUCAAUGGCCGCAGGGCUGAACCAGCCAAGUCGCGUGAGGGAUGACGGUCCUAUGGAUUGUAAACCUCUUUUGUCAGGGAGCAAAGGGCGCCACGUGUGGCGCUUUGCGAGUACCUGAAGAAAAAGCAUCGGCUAACUACGUGCCAGCAGCCGCGGUAAUACGUAGGGGGCGAGCGUUAUCCGGAUUUACUGGGUGUAAAGGGAGCGUAGACGGUUCUGCAAGUCUGAAGUGAAAGCCCGUGGCUUAACCGCGGAACGGCUUUGGAAACUGUGGAACUGGAGUGCUGGAGAGGCAAGCGGAAUUCCUAGUGUAGCGGUGAAAUGCGUAGAUAUUAGGAGGAACACCAGUGGCGAAGGCGGCUUGCUGGACAGUAACUGACGUUGAGGCUCGAAAGCGUGGGGAGCAAACAGGAUUAGAUACCCGCGUAUC